GACAGAGGUCCCAAGCGUUAGGCGGAAUCACUGGGCUUAAAGCGUGUGUAGGCGGUUUUGUAAGUACCUUGUGAAAUCCCACGGCUCAACCGUGGAACUGCUUGGUAUACUGCUUAUCUUGGGCCAUCUAGGGGCGAGCGGAACAAACGGUGGAGCGGUGAAAUGCGUAGAUAUCGUUUGGAACGCCAAUGGUGAAAACAGCUCGCUGGGGAUGUGCCGACGCUGAGAUACGAAAGCCAGGGGAGCGAACGGG
rnacentral:rRNA from 1 species